AUUGAACGCUGGCGGCAGGCCUAACACAUGCAAGUCGAGCGAGCGGCGGACGGGUGAGUAAUGUAUGGGGACUGCCCGAUAGCGGGGGAUAACUACUGGAAACGGUAGCUAAUACCGCAUACUAUCGGAUAACCCAUAUGGGAUUAGCUAGUAGGUGAGGUAAUGGCUCACCUAGGCUACGAUCCCUAGCUGGUCUGAGAGGAUGAUCAGCAACACUGGGACUGAGACACGUCACCGACUCCUACGGAGGCAGCAGGUGGGAAUAUUGCACAAUGGGGACAAGCCUGCUGCAGCCAUGCCGCGUGUAUGAAGAAGGCCCUAGGGUUGUAAAGUACUUUCAGUGGGGAGGCGAUACCGACAGAAGAAGCACCGGCUAACUCCGUGCCAGCAGCCGCGGUACUUC
rnacentral:rRNA from 1 species